rnacentral:rRNA from 1 species
UACGUAGGGUGCAAGCGUUAAUCGGAAUUACUGGGCGUAAAGCGUGCGUAGGCGGUUUUGUAAGUCUGUCGUGAAAUCCCCGGGCUUAACCUGGGAAUUGCGAUGGAGACUGCAAGGCUAGAAUCUGGCAGAGGGGGGUAGAAUUCCACGUGUAGCAGUGAAAUGCGUAGAGAUGUGGAGGAACACCGAUGGCGAAGGCAGCCCCCUGGGUCAAGAUUGACGCUCAUGCACGAAAGCGUGGGGAGCAAACAGG